AAGGGCUUAGCUUAAUUAAAGUAUCUGAUUUGCAAUCAGUUGAUGUAGGAUAGAUUCUUGCAGUCCUUA
rnacentral:tRNA from 1 species